AAAAAAGAACGACCAGACUUCACUCUCAGGAGCUGCGCCAUGGAUUUUCUUCGAUCUGGCCACUGGAAGGUGACCUCGACGACGCAAAGCUUGAUUGGGCUUACCCCGAGCUCAGGUUCAGCGUCUGCGGCGUUGAUUUGUGCAUAUUUUGGUUGUGGUUAGAAGCGAAGGAGCUAGAUCUGACGGCCGAAAGUUCGUCGCUUCGAGCAGUUCAGGUGGCAAGAAGCUCAGGUUCGGAGACGGGAAGCUCCACUUGUGCAGCAGCUACUCGGGCUAAGAAGCAGGGAGCUCGAUUCCGACGGGCACGAGAGCUCCUCCGUUCAGUGUAGCAGCAAGCUCGAGCUUGGCAACAGGAGCUCGAUUCCGCAGCCGGGAGUUCGUCGGCUUGUGCAGCAGCAAGCUCACGUGUUUGGCUUCUCGAUUCCGGUGGAGUGCCUAUUAUUUCUCAUAAUAAAAUGGAUUGCAGUACAGUGGUAGUAAAGUAUAAACAUGAAUUGGAAAACUGCUAGCUCAAGUCAUCAGAUAAGCAUGCAACAAAAGUAACAUAGUUACUGAAAAUAAUAACAGAGUAUUCAAGAUAUAUAGUUGACUGGAAUUUCCAUUGAACGAUGGGGCUGCAAUUCCCUGCUGUGUAUCUUGGCCAUGUUGAGUGACUCCAGACCAAGGAAGCAAAAGAUGUGGAAGCUGCUGCAUUUCCUUCUCCAUGUGGAGGGGCUCCAAACCAUGAACCAAAUGAUGCAGGUUUGGGUUCAAUGCCGGUUUACUUUGUGUUUGCCUUGAAGUCAUAUUUCACCUCCUCAUCUCUUUUAUCUGCCACCAAUCGGUCAAACUGUUGAAAGAAGGAGAAUUAUUCAUGGAGUGAUUUGACGAUGAAUCGGCGGCAGCGUCAGCGGCAGGUGAUGAGAUGCUCGGUAUCGGGAGGCUCAUGCUGAUGUAGUUGGCCUCUCCACCGGCCCCUGUGACAUUCACCAAGGACGCCCUGGCUUUUGCUCAAGAAGGGAUUAAGAUGUUAUUAGUUCUGUUUGUUUCUCACGAAUCACGAAUCAAGUUUUUUUUUGACUGGCGCCUUUUUACGUGUGAUUGCCGCCAUUUUUAUGUGGUUACCGCCAAUUUUCUCUCAAUAUUUACGGUCGAUCAGGACCCUCCACGUGUGAGGGAACAUGGAUGGGAAUAGAUAAUAGGAACAUGGAAGCCGCGCCCGGUACUGUUGCCCUGUAGCAGCUGACGUGUCCAGCUGACAUGCCCCUUCCAAAAACUACAGAUACUAUAGAUUAGGGGUGACCAAAAAUGCUUGAUCAUCAUAGACUAAUU